rnacentral:rRNA from 1 species
AUUGAACGCUGGCGGCAGGCUUAACACAUGCAAGUCGAGCGGAGAUGAGGUGCUUGCACCUUAUCUUAGCGGCGGACGGGUGAGUAAUGCUUAGGAAUCUGCCUAUUAGUGGGGGACAACAUUCCGAAAGGAAUGCUAAUACCGCAUACGUCCUACGGGAGAAAGCAGGGGAUCUUCGGACCUUGCGCUAAUAGAUGAGCCUAAGUCGGAUUAGCUAGUUGGUGGGGUAAAGGCCUACCAAGGCGACGAUCUGUAGCGGGUCUGAGAGGAUGAUCCGCCACACUGGGACUGAGACACGGCCCAGACUCCUACGGGAGGUAGCAGUGGGGAAUAUCGGACAAUGGGGGGAACCCUGAUCCAGCCAUGCCGCGUGUGUGAAGAAGGCCUUAUGGUUGUAAAGCACUUUAAGCGAGGAGGAGGCUACUGAGACUAAUACUCUUGGAUAGUGGACGUUACUCGCAGAAUAAGCACCGGCUAACUCUGUGCCAGCCGCCGCGGUAA